rnacentral:piRNA from 1 species
UACGAGCAUAAAGCAUGGAACGAGCAC